UAACUACGUGCCAGCAGCCGCGGUAAUACGUAGGGCGCAAGCGUUAUCCGGAAUUAUUGGGCGUAAAGAGCUCGUAGGCGGUUUGUCGCGUCUGCCGUGAAAGUCCGGGGCUCACCUCCGGAUCUGCGGUGGGUACGGGCAGACUAGAGUGAUGUAGGGGAGACUGGAAUUCCUGGUGUAGCGGUGAAAUGCGCAGAUAUCAGGAGGAACCCCGAUGGCGAAGGCAGGUCUCUGGGCAUUAACUGACGCUGAGGAGCGAAAGCAUGGGGAGCGAACAGGAUUAGAUACCCUGGUAGUCCAUGCCGUAAACGUUGGGCACUAGGUGUGGGGGACAUUCUCCCCUUCCGCGCCCUGCUAAGCAUUAAGUGCCCCGCCUGGGGAGUACGGCCGCAAGGCUAAAACUCAAAGGAAUUGACGGGGGCCCGCACAAGCGGCGGAGCAUGCGGAUUAAUUCGAUGCAACGCGAAGAACCUUACCAAGGCUUGACAUGAACCGGUAAGACCUGGAAACAGGUCCCCCACUUGUGGCCGGUUUACAGGUGGUGCAUGGU
rnacentral:rRNA from 1 species